GCUAUUGGUUGUUGUCUACGCGCCAUGUAUUGUACGCGCGGCUCAUGAGCGGGAUAGCACGCGAGCCUCUGUUGUUCUUCUCAACGUCAAGCAAUAAGGUCUGUAUUUCAUUGGCGUGCAUUUGGUUUUAGUCGGCGUUACGUUACGCUUUUCUGCGCGACCGAAUUUUGCCGAUGCGACUUAUAAAUGUGGUCGUAGGUACUAUACGUUAAUAUAA